UAAUAGCCCCGAUUGUAGUGGAAAUACUUUUUGUUGCAGGUCUUCGAUAAGCUCAGACUGGCAAUCGCAAAAAGAUUAAAACGGAAAGCGGGACCGAAU
rnacentral:sRNA from 1 species